rnacentral:rRNA from 1 species
CCCUACCGGGGAGGCGGCAGGUGGGGAAUAUUGCACAAUGUUCUGCAAGCCUGUAUGCAGCCUUGCCGCGUGUAUGAAGAACGCCUUCUGGCUGUAAAGUACUUUCACCGAGGAGGAAGGUGUUGUGGUUAAUAACCGCAGCAAUUGACGUUACUCGCAGAACAAGCACCGGCUAACUCCGUGCUGGCAGCCGCGGUAAU